AUGGAUGCAACAUCAUUGCACUUGGUAAUGUACCCUUUUUUGGCUCUUGGCCACCUUACCCCUUAUCUCCACCUAUCAAACAAACUAGCCCAGAAAGGCUAUAGAAUCUCCUUCUUGAUUCCCACCAAAACACAAUCAAAGUUAGGGACUUUCAACCUCUACCCAGAUCUCAUCACCUUUGUCCCCAUCACUGUUCCCCAUGUGGAUGGCCUCCCUCUUGGUGCUAAGACCACUUCAGAUGUGCCUGACCAUUUGCACCCUCUCAUUAUGACUGCUAUGGAUCGCACUGAAAGUGAUAUUGAACUUCUUCUCCAUGACCUUAAACCAGACAUUGUCUUCUUUGAUUUUACCCAUUGGUUACCAAAAUUGGCCUGUAGCCUAGGUAUUAGAUCAAUUCUCUAUGCCACAGUCAGUCCACUUACAGUAGAUUAUUACACUAUGCCCCCUGCUGGAGCAGAGCAACAUACUGGCAACAACUUACUUGAGGUUGACCUUAUGCGGCCCCCAUCUAGUUUCUCAGUAUCAUCAUCCAUCAAGCUCCAUGUCCAUGAAGCACGAGCCUUUGAUGCAAUAAAGACCAUGAAAUUUGGUAGUGGUGUUUUAUUCCAUAAUCGCUUGUUCACUAGCUUAAGUCAAUGUGAUGCACUAGAACUCACGACGUGUAGAGAAAUUGAGGGACCUUAUAUUGACAAUCUUGAAAGCCAUUUUGGGAAGUCUGUAUUUCUUUCAGGACCAGUCAUACCAAAGCCACCAACUUCUGCUUUAGAAGAAAAAUGGGUUAAGUGGCUAGGAAGAUUCAAGAUCAGAUCAGUUAUAUACUGUGCAUUCGGAAGUGAGUGCACAUUAAACAAAGAUCAAUUCCAGGAAUUAGUGUUGGGUCUUGAGCUUUCAGGUUGGCCAUUUCUGGCAGCACUUAAGCCGCCUUUUGGGGCUGAGUCUAUUGAAGAAGCCUUGCCAGAAGGGUUUGUAGAGAGGGUUCAAGGAAGAGGGAUAGUACAAGGCGGAUGGGUUCAACAACUGCUAAUUUGAAAGCACCCAUCAGUUGGGUGUUUCAUCACACACUACGGGUCAGGUUCUUUUUUUGAAGCGUUAAUGAAUCAGUGUCAACUGGUACUCUUACCGCACGUAGGUGACCAGAUUUUGAAUGCAAGGAUGAUGAGUAACAAUUUGAAGGUUGGGGUGGAAGUUGAGAAAGGUGAAGAUGGUUUGUUCACAAAGGAAAGUGUCUGCAAGGCAGUGAAUAAAGUGAUGGAGGCUGACAGCGAGGUUGGGAGGGAGGUCAGAGCCAAUCAUGCCAAACUCAGAGAGCUCUUGAGCAGUGAAGAUUUAGAGUCAUCUUAUAUUGAUGGUUUCUGUCAGAAUCUUAAAAGUUUUGGUUGGAUAAUUUGA